GCUGGGUAUGGUGGCUUAUGCCUGUAAUCCCAGCACUCUGGGAGGCAGAGGUGGGUGGAUCACCUGAGGCCAGGAGAUUGAGACCAGCCUGGCCAACAUGGUGAAACCCCAUCUCUA
ensembl:misc_RNA Metazoa_SRP Metazoan signal recognition particle RNA